rnacentral:piRNA from 1 species
UAGCACCCCAGCUCUUUCCUCAUAGCCUG